rnacentral:lncRNA from 1 species
AAACGAUACUCUUUUAAUUGGGUUGGAAUCGAUAUUUACUUUGAACUCUUGAUCCAGUGACAGAUACAAUUGCACCACUGUCAUAUGUAGCUAUUAUAUUUUUGAAGUAAUUCUCAUGGACAUUCAAUGCAUCGAUGGACACCUACAUACUCUUGCAUAGUGGCCUCUCUUACCACACUUGUGCAUUCGACGCUUUUUGCAAGGAAAACUUUCCCAUUCUUAUGAGGAAAUUGGAAACCACACUGUCCACACAAUCUUUCUUGGCUCUUGUUCCACGAUCUCCUACAGCUUUGAAUUCUUCGAUAUAUAUUGAAUCCACAUGACUUUGUAUUUGCGAUAAUACCCUUUGAUACUAAAUCAUUUAGACUAUUUUGAUUAUUCUUUGCCGUUUCUACUAUUCUCCAUUAAUAUAUACUUCACAUAUUUUAUUUGCACCAUCAAAACAUCUUAAUUGUGAUUUUCUAUACUUACAGACUGAUCCAUUGGUUAGAUGUCAUCCUUGAAUGUUCCUUCAAAUAGAAGUUACAUACUUGUAUAUAAGGUCUAUAGAUGAUUAGAUAAACUUUUUAAACACUACCGAAUGCGCGAUGUGAUGAUGGGUUUGAUGUUCUCGAAUAUUUGGUCUUACGAGUAAUAAGGAAAUUGGGAGUGAGGCUUGAAGUAUUCAAGAUGUAUCAUUGUCCAUAUUUGCAGUACAGCACGAAUUCAAACUUAUUAAUGGAAUUGAUAAUUGUGUGAUAACUAUUCAUAGUAGUGAUUCGUGCGUUAUAGGUAUUAAGGGCACUAAAGGUUUCUUAACAAGGAAAGGGUUUACUUAAACUAUGAGUUGACUUUAGGAACAUUGAACACGAAGAGUUUCAUUGAACGAUUUUUAGGAUUAUUUCUAUUCUAGAGGCUCACAUAUUACUAUUGCGUCAUUGCAUAAUAUGAUACUCAACUUCUUCCUCGCAAGGUAUGAGUAUUUCGACCAAAUUUUAGACUAUUUCUCCCAUAGACUUAGAUUGUCGUGACAGAUUUUUCUUAAUCUAAAUGGUUUUACGUCCCCAUGUAAAGUAUGAACAUGCCUCAUACAAAAAUUAUUAUAGUUUUCAUUUAAUUUACACACAUGCUCUUUACGAUUUGUUAAAUCCACCUUGUAUAUUGAUAUUCGUAACCAAAUUUUUAUUUAUGACAAUUAAUAUUUAUUACUAUUUGUAUCAUACAAUAAAUUAUAACUAACAUUAA